UUAUCAUUGGAUUGUGUCUUUCAUAGCUGAAGACUUCUGAAUCUGUUUUGGAAAUGAAGGAAACCUCUCCUAAAAAAAGGCAGCAGAAAUCAGAUUUAUUGGAGGAAUUUGGUUUAGGAGGUGCAGAGGAUAUUGAAGAUGAGUACUCAGGAUCUACCUUUCAUAUGCCAUCAUCAGCUGAAAAAGAAGACAUCAAGGAUGCCAUUGAAAAUUAUGGGGCACAGGUUGAGAAGGAAAAAAGCAAAGAAAGAUAUUUCAAAACACAGGACGUGGCAAAACAGGAAGAUCUUGAUAAAUUAAAUACACCGACAGGCAUUGUUACUGAUCAGCACAUGAAAGAAAAGCUUACUCUAAGGAAGAAUGACUGUUUAACAAUGGAGAAUGAAAACAUUAUAGAAGAAAAAGAUGAAAAGAAUUUUUCAUCUGAGGAGAGAUCAAAAUUGAUUAAAUUGCCGAAGAAAGGUAAAUUUGCCCUGAAUACCAAAGUUGCAAAGAAAAAUAAAAGACAGACUUCAAAGCAGAAGGCUAAUCAGCAGAUGAGCACUGCCAGUGGGAAUAAUUUUCAAGUACUAGAUGAUAGCACUUUCAGUGAAACAUCUCAAGAUGAAGGAAGGUACUGAAUAUAAGGAAUAUUAUAAAUAAAACUUACUUAAUGAUAAAAAUUGACCUGAAAGCUAAAGGUAAGUUUUGUAAACCUGAUGUGUACAAUGAUUCCUGUUCUUUAAUGUGACAAUACUACCUGAUACCUACCCUUUGUGCUCAAAAACACUUCUUUUUCGCUUGGAGUGUUUUAAACGUACUGGCCAAGUUAUCGAUAAGGUCAGAUGUGCACAAAUUCUGAGUUUGUGCACGUGCAUAAAUAUAUAUAUUUUAGAGAGACUUAUAGAAGAGCAAAAUAACUCUUUCCUGAAGGCAUCCCAAGUUUUUCCCACCCCCCUCCCCCAAGCUGUUUCCCCUCCCCCAAGCUGUUUCCCCUCCCCCAAGCUGUUUCCCCUCCCCCAAGCUGUUUCCCCUCCCAGCUUCUUGCCCACCCCAAACUUACUUGUGUGGGAGGCAAAGUGAGAACAGGUGUUGACACUGUACAAGCACUGUUCAGCAAUAGCUAAAACUUUGGUGUGUUAUCAACACUGUUUUGGUCAGAAAUCUAACAGACAGCACCCAGCCAGACCCAGUACACUAGAGAAUCCAGAAUUAUUGUUCUUUGACCCGUAAAAGGAUUCUCAGUACUGAAGAGAGCUCAACCUCUAGUAUUAAACAGGAAUGCACAUAUACACAAAUAUACAGUGUACGUGUACAGUGUAUCUACAUAUUUGUAGCUGUAAGAUUCCUGUGACUCUGAGUGAAGUGCAAAGAACAGUUAUUUCAACUAUUUGCUUAAUAUCUUGUGGAAAAAAUAGCCUUCUAAUACACAUAUCAGUACACAAAUUUUUUUCAGUUUCCAACUACAUCUAACAAAAUUCUUAUAUUCAAAUUUAGUUAAUUCACUUCUGAAAUUAAGUUUUCAGAGCCACUUUAGAUAUUGUUCAUAAUGCAAUAUCAGCAUUCCAGUACUGAAUAUAUUUCUGUUUUCCAGGCCUGCAGCAAAAACAGGAAGUGAAAAGAACAAGGUACUGUAAAAUUGGUUUCUUGAUAAACCCUUUUUAUCAGCUUUUAAUCCCUUAUAUGGGAACAGCAUUUAUGUAGUGGUCAACUAGAUGCAGAAAUUGCUUCUAGUAUGCAGCUUCAUCAUAUCUGAGCCAAAUCUAUGGGCUGGGAAUAAAAGAAUGAAGCAUUCAUGCAUUUGUAAUGAUCUGUAAUACUGUGUAGUUGUAUACAGA
rnacentral:lncRNA from 1 species